CCUACGGGAGGCAGCAGUGAGGAAUAUUGGUCAAUGGACGAGAGUCUGAACCAGCCAAGUAGCGUGAAGGAUGACUGCCCUAUGGGUUGUAAACUUCUUUUAUAAGGGAAUAAAACGAGGCACGUGUGCCUUUUUGCAUGUACUUUAUGAAUAAGGAUCGGCUAACUCCGUGCCAGCAGCCGCGGUAAUACGGAGGAUCCGAGCGUUAUCCGGAUUUAUUGGGUUUAAAGGGAGCGUAGAUGGGUUGGUAAGUCAGUUGUGAAAGUUUGGGGCUCAACCGUAAAAUUGCAAGUGAUACUGGCAGUCUUGAGUACAGUUGAGGUAGGCGGAAUUCGUGGUGUAGCGGUGAAAUGCGUAGAUAUCACGAAGAACCCCGAUUGCGAAGGCAGCUCACUGGACUGCAACUGACACUGAUGCGCGAAAGUGUGGGUAUCAAACAGGAUUAGAUACCCGUGUAGUC
rnacentral:rRNA from 1 species